AAAAAAAUCACAUGUUCCGGCAUGUACUAAGAAUAACUGAGAAUAAAUAAAUGGGAGCUAAAAACAAAAAACAAACAAAGAAAUUACAAUAGUAAAGAUGAUGAGAUUUGUUUGGAGAUCACGUUUGCAAUUUUACAGUUUUUUAUACAUUGUAGGGACUUAAAAUACAACUUAAAUUCGUUAAGAAAACAAGAAAAUGAGGGUUUGUUACCUCUCCAUUUACAACAGUGUAUGUGAUAUUUUCCAAGUAGUAUAAUGAUAUUAAUAAGAUUUACCAGGGAUAUGUCUAGGUUUUCCAUAUAUAUUAACACAUCUGAAAUGCUAAAGUGAGGGAUGUCAAGUUUAAGAUUUAUCCAACUCCUGAUGUUUGUCCAGAACUCUUUGGAAUACUGACAUGAGAAGAAAAGAUGUUGCAGAGUUUCAUCACAAGAAUUACAGAAAACACAGGGUUCAACAUCAAAAUUAAACCGUUUCUUAAGAAACUCAGCCACAGGAUAAAUAUUGUUUAUAACUUUAAAAUGACAUUCUUUAACUUUUGGUAGAAUAGGCCACAUUACAAAUUUAGAUUUACCUUUAACUACUACAGAUUGACUGGUUAUAUCAAUAAAUGUUCUGAAAGAGGCCUGAUUGUAAUCAUAAUAGAUUUUUUGUAUUAUAGUAUUUUUGAUGAAUUUAUUAUUACACACAAACACAUCCAAUUCAACACCAGUGUCUGACACAUGUCUAUACAAAUGUAAAAGCAUCCAAACUGACACAAACGGGCAAAUAGACUUCCAAACAAACACAAUUUACAUUUACAUUUACAAACUGACACAAAAGCACAGACAUGUUAACAUAUAAAUGCACACACAUACAAGUGUGAGGGAGCACAAACACACAAAUUGUUGGGGAACAACUCCCUUGCAAAGUACUCUUCCUAAGACAGCCAAUACAUUAGUAUACUCCUCAAGGAGAUUGACAUUUCACAAAGGGGGAAGGAAUUGAACCUCAGACCCAGAGGCAGAAUAUGAUUGUUCUACCUCUGCCACAGCUGGGACGAUAUCUCCUGAGAACAUAUGCACAGGAGCAUGUACACAAUGCACACAAUAAUACACAAUGUGUAUGUUCACACAUGAAUACACAUUCUUUCAUAUUAAAAUUUCUUGCACAAAAAAAAUCUACAGUUUAUCAGAUAGAAACUGAAUAAAAAUUCAGAUUACAAUUUGUCUUUGUCUAUAGAUUGUGAGCGUUUUUUUUAAAUAAAAAUGUUUUUUGUAUGUCGUCCCCCCCCCCAAUAUAUAUAUAUUUAGCUCUUGUUUUUCCUUCAUUUUGCAUGCUGUCUUUGGUGUUGAAGUUCUUUCUGCUUUGCAGAUAUUUGGUAAGAUAGCUCUGGUGGAUGGCACAUACAUCAACAGAAACAACAACUUCCAGACGUUUCCUCAGGCGGUGCUGCUGCUCUUCAGGUGUGUCUAAGUUUGAAAUGUUUGUUCCUUACAGUGUUGAUCAAAAUCUCUCUUUUAUACCUUGACUGUUCAAUUAAAAGGCAUUGGGCGUAGAAUGUUGAACUGGUGGUCUGCUGUUGCAGUAUUUGGAAUUUAGUUAAAUCCAGUUGUACAGAAUGGAACUAAUUUACUUAAAAUUGUGUCGGUCAAGUUGCUCUUUAGAUGUGUUCUGGUGAAGUUAUGUUGUUUAUCUGUACAGGUGAAGUUCCUCUGCAGGUGUGCUCAGGUGCAUGAGCUGUGCUAGUAAAUGGUAAAUAGCAUAUACUUGUAUAGCGCUUUCUACCUUCCUUCGAAGGCCCAAAGUGCUUCACAGUCACAGACCCAUUCACCCAUUCACACACUGGUGGUGUCUCUGCUGCCGAACACUGGCGCCAACCUCCCACCAGAGGCAAUUUGCUUCUAGCACGAACUCCCAAUCUGGCUACGUCAUCACCUGGCACACAUAACGCUUACUUCCAUCUCCGCUCUGUGUCCAUAGCAACCGCAGUUCUUCAGUUCAGGUUCAGGUGUGCUCAUGUAAAGUUAUUCUGUAGAUGUUUUUAGGUGAAGCUGCUCUGCAGGUGUGUUGAGGUAAAGAUGCUCUGCAGGAGAAGUUGUGCUUCGGAUGUGUUCAUCUGAAGGUGCUUUGCAGGUGUUAUCAGGUAAAGUAACAUAGCAGGAGUGUUUAGGUGAAGCUGCACUGCAGGUGUGCUACUGGGGAGGCGUGGCAUGAAGUGAUGCUUGCCUGCAUGUAUGGGAAGAAAUGUGAUCCGAAAUCUGACUUCCUGCCUGGCGAGGAGAACACGUGUGGGUCUAACUUUGCCAUCAUCUACUUCAUGAGCUUUUACACGCUCUGUGCUUUUCUGGUAAGUUUCUUCCACCAUGAGAACACUCAGAGCAGACACACCUGAAUGUCUUUUAAAACAAAAUCCAUUAAUGCUACUUGUCA